rnacentral:rRNA from 1 species
AACGAACGCUGGCGGCAGGCCUAACACAUGCAAGUCGAACGCCCCGCAAGGGGAGUGGCAGACGGGUGAGUAACACGUGGGAACAUACCCUUCGGUUCGGAAUAACUCAGGGAAACUUGAGCUAAGACCGGAUACGUCCGCGAGGAGAAAGAUUCAUCGCCGGAGGAUUGGCCCGCGUCCGAUUAGCUAGUUGGUGAGGUAACGGCUCACCAAGGCGACGAUCGGUAGCUGGUCUGAGAGGAUGAUCAGCCACAUUGGGACUGAGACACGGCCCAAACUCCUACGGGAGGCAGCAGUGGGGAAUAUUGGACAAUGGGCGAAAGCCUGAUCCAGCCAUGCCGCGUGAGUGAUGAAGGCCCUAGGGUUGUAAAGCUCUUUCGUCAGGGACGAUAAUGACGGUACCUGAAGAAGAAGCCCCGGCUAACUUCGUGCCAGCAGCCGC